rnacentral:ncRNA from 1 species
CGAAAUUCGUUGAUGAGAACAAAGCCUGAUGUGGAUUUAUUUACAGAGAGCCUGUGGCCGGUGUAAACAGGUAAUGACCAGAUUAGGAUAUCAUCUUUGAGAAGCGGGUUGAAAGCUUUAUAGAAGUUUGUAGACCUCGCCGGUAUCCACCGUUAUAUGGAUGGCAUAUGCUGGUAUGCUUGAGAGUUGUAGUUUAUUACUACAAAAUUAGGGUGGUAACGCGGAUGAUAUUCGUCCCUUUU